GAUGAACGCUGGCGGCGUGCCUAACACAUGCAAGUCGAGCGAUUCUCUUCGGAGAAGAGCGGCGGACGGGUGAGUAACGCGUGGGUAACCUGCCCUGUACACACGGAUAACAUACCGAAAGGUAUGCUAAUACGAGAUAAUAUGCUUUUAUCGCAUGGUAGAAGUAUCAAAGCUUUGGCGGUACAGGAUGGACCCGCGUCUGAUUAGCUAGUUGGUAAGGUAACGGCUUACCAAGGCGACGAUCAGUAGCCGACCUGAGAGGGUGAUCGGCCACAUUGGAACUGAGACACGGUCCAAACUCCUACGGGGGGCAGCAGUGGGGAAUAUUGCACAAUGGGCGAAAGCCUGAUGCAGCAACGCCGCGUGAGCGAUGAAGGCCUUCGGGUCGUAAAGCUCUGUCCUCAAGGAAGAUAAUGACGGUACUUGAGGAGGAAGCCCCGGCUAACUACGUGCCAGCCGCCGCCGUAA
rnacentral:rRNA from 1 species